ACGGGGGGAGCAAGCGUUGUUCGGAUUUACUGGGCGUAAAGGGCGCGUAGGCGGCCUGUGCAAGUCAGUUGUGAAAUCUCCGGGCUUAACUCGGAACGGUCUACUGAUACUGCUCGGCUAGAGUGCGGAAGGGGCAACUGGAAUUCUUGGUGUAGCGGUGAAAUGCGUAGAUAUCAAGAGGAACACCUGCGGCGAAGGCGGGUUGCUGGGCCGACACUGACGCUGAUGCGCGAAAGCUAGGGGAGCGAACGGGA
rnacentral:rRNA from 1 species